rnacentral:rRNA from 1 species
CUACGGGCCGCAGCAGUGGGGAAUCUUAGACAAUGGGGGAAACCCUGAUCUAGCCAUGCCGCGUGAGCGACGACGGCCCUAGGGUUGUAAAGCUCUUUCAGCAGGGAAGAUAAUGACGGUACCUGCAGAAGAAGUCCCGGCUAACGCCGUGCCAGCAGCCGCGGUAAUACGGAGGGGACUAGCGUUGUUCGGAAUUACUGGGCGUAAAGCGCGCGUAGGCGGAUUGUUAAGUCGGGGGUGAAAGCCCGGGGCUCAACCCCGGAACUGCCCUCGAUACUGGCAGUCUUGAGUUCGAGAGAGGUGAGUGGAAUUCCGAGUGUAGAGGUGAAAUUCGUAGAUAUUCGGAGGAACACCAGUGGCGAAGGCGGCUCACUGGCUCGAUACUGACGCUGAGGUGCGAAAGCGUGGGGAGCAAACAGGAUUAGAUACCCUCGUAGUC